GACGAACGCUGGCGGCGUGCUUAACACAUGCAAGUCGAACGGAAAGGCCCUGCUUUUGUGGGGUGCUCGAGUGGCGAACGGGUGAGUAACACGUGAGUAACCUGCACUUGACUUUGGGAUAACUUCAGGAAACUGGGGGUAAUACCGGAUAGGAGCUCCUGCUGCAUGGUGGGGGUUGGAAAGUUUCGGCGGUUGGGGAUGGACUGGCGGCUUAUCAGCUUGUUGGGGGGGUAGUGGCUUACCAAGGCUUGGACGGGUAGCCGGCCUGAGAGGGUGACCGGCCACAUUGGGACUGAGAUACGGCCCAGACUCCUACGGGAGGCAGCAGUGGGGAAUAUUGCACAAUGGGUGGAAGCCUGAUGCAGCAACGCCGCGUGCGGGAUGACGGCCUUCGGGUUGUAAACCGCUUUCGCCUGUGACGAAGCGUGAGUGACGGUAAUGGGUAAAGAAGCACCGGCUAACUACGUG
rnacentral:rRNA from 1 species